rnacentral:rRNA from 1 species
CGGAGCCGCAGCGAAAGCGAGUCUGAAUAGGGCGAAUGAGUACGUGGUCGUAGACCCGAAACCAGGUGAUCUACCCAUGUCCAGGGUGAAGGUGAGGUAACACUUACUGGAGGCCCGAACCCACGCACGUUGAAAAGUGCGGGGAUGAGGUGUGGGUAGCGGAGAAAUUCCAAUCGAACUUGGAGAUAGCUGGUUCUCUCCGAAAUAGCUUUAGGGCUAGCCUCGUGAUGG